UCGCUGUUACCGAUUGAAUGACUUAGUGAGCUGCAGGGAUUGUAACAUUUGGCAACAAAUGUCAUAAAAACUGUAUCAAACUUGAUCAUUUAGAGGAAGCAAAAGUCGUAA
rnacentral:rRNA from 1 species